CCUUAACAGAUGUGCUGAGUUUCCAUGUGAAGCAGCCAGGCCUCAGGUGCCAGCCCGAGGCUCCCUCUGAUGGAGGAGCCUGAACAGGACCCCUAGGACCCUGAAACCCCCGUUUGCAUGCCUGAAGGCCAUCUCCCAGACUGUGAUGCUGAACAGAGAACAUCUGCUCUUCUGGGUGGAAUCCUUCCAGAACACGGGAAAGAACCAAAAGGGAAAACCUCCCCUUAAAGAGAGGAAUGCUGUUUCCCAGAGGAAGGAGGUGGUCUUCGGGCUGAGGGACUUGGAGGGGACUUGCAUAAAGGGGAAGAGCAAAUCGAAGGUAUCAAAGCCAGCACACACUGCGAGAGUGAGGAGAGACAAGAUGACCCACGGAGCAACGAUGUGCUGUUUCCCAUUUCAUUCUGGGGUAGAGGUGGGGACAGUGUGAGGAUGGUCCCUUGGGGACCUUGAAGACUGUGUAAGAAGAGUCCACAAUGUGGGUAAGCCAGAAUAACCAUAAAAUGUUAUUCUUACUUUGGGGACUUAGAACCACUUAUGUCCUACUUAAAAAUCAUGGGAAAAACCAUAUUUACAUAGAGACAUUUUUGUUAAAGCAAAUACAGACCCUUGAAAAGAAUACAAGGCCUCAUUAGAUUCUCUAAAAUCAGAAA